ensembl:snRNA U6 U6 spliceosomal RNA
GUGCUUGCUUCAGCAGCACGUAUACUAAAAUUAGAACAUUACAGAGAAGAUUAGCAUGGCUCCUGUGCAGUGAUGACAUACAAAUUUGUGAAAUGUUCCAUAAAAAA